GGAGAGAAAUCAGUCUAGUUUGAAUCAACCAAAAAUUUGGUUGGCGUUCAAAGUCUGAUUUUUAUUACUCCAACGUAAACAAAUGUUUCAUUCUAAGUUGGGGUUUCUUUCGAAGCAAAUGAUUUUUUAAAGUACAUUUUACCUGAAUGAUUUGCUUCCUCCAAAGUCAUGUUUGCUUUGAUUCAAACUAAGAUUGCACCCUUUAUCAACCGCUAGCAUGUUUGCUUUUACCAAAAGAUAGGUUGGUGAAAAUGAUUCGUCGUUGACAAAUCCAAACUAGGCCUUAGGUUGGAUUACAUCAAGAUGUUAAUUGAAAAUAACCUAAAACUUUGGUUGGGUGGAAAUCAACCUAAAAAAUGGUUCGAAGCAAACUAAGUUAUUAGUUUGUCCACAUCACUGGGUGUUGCGUCAGCCGUACUCUUCCUACUUGCUUGUAGUGUUGUCAGCUGCUGCUUGCUCCGCUUCAGUUUUCAGAUCGUUGGUAUGUACGCCUUGAAAGUGCAAUUGGUUACUAACUGCAAUGGGUCCGUAGAUUGCAUCCGGGAGACAAAUUUGAAGCAACAUAAACAUCAAUAGUGUACGGAUUGACGCACUGUUCGAGCUUCUUCGUCUCACCACAAAGCAACUACUCAACGUUACGACCGGAUUUUCUGUAUGCGUAAGCGAAAUUGAGGACACCCAACGAUGUUUUUUGUGAAGGAAGACCAUGAUUCUGACCCUUACGGAAGUUGAAGAAAUCAGGAAGAAAUAGAUAUAU